AGUCGAACGAUGAAGCCGGAGCUUGCUCUGGUGGAUUAGUGGCGAACGGGUGAGUAACACGUGAGUAACCUGCCCUUGACUCUGGGAUAAGCGUUGGAAACGACGUCUAAUACCGGAUACGAGCUGGGACCGCAUGGUCACCAGCUGGAAAGAAUUUCGGUCAAGGAUGGACUCGCGGCCUAUCAGUUAGUUGGUGAGGUAACGGCUCACCAAGACGACGACGGGUAGCCGGCCUGAGAGGGUGACCGGCCACACUGGGACUGAGACACGGCCCAGACUCCUACGGGAGGCAGCAGUGGGGAAUAUUGCACAAUGGGCGCAAGCCUGAUGCAGCAACGCCGCGUGAGGGACGACGGCCUUCGGGUUGUAAACCUCUUUUAGCAGGGAAGAAGCGCAAGUGACGGUACCUGCAGAAAAAGCACCGGCUAACUACGUGCCAGCAGCCGCGGUAAUACGUAGGGUGCAAGCGUUGUCCGGAAUUAUUGGGCGUAAAGAGCUCGUAGGCGGUUUGUCGCGUCUGCUGUGAAAACCCGAGGCUCAACCUCGGGCCUGCAGUGGGUACGGGCAGACUAGAGUGCGGUAGGGGAGAUUGGAAUUCCUGGUGUAGCGGUGGAAUGCGCAGAUAUCAGGAGGAACACCGAUGGCGAAGGCAGAUCUCUGGGCCCGUAACUGACGCUGAGGAGCGAAAGCGUGGGGAGCGAACAGGAUUAGAUACCCUGGUAGUCCACGCCGUAAACGUUGGGAACUAGAUGUAGGGACCAUUCCACGGUUUCUGUGUCGCAGCUAACGCAUUAAGUUCCCCGCCUGGGGAGUACGGCGCAAGACUAA
rnacentral:rRNA from 1 species